GUAAGGAAUAUUGGGCAAUGGAGGCAACUCUGACCCAGCCAUGCCGCGUGAAGGAUUGACGGCCCUCUGGGUUGUAAACUUCUUUUGUACGGGAAUAACCCUCCGAACGUGUUCGGAGCUGAAGGUACCGUAAGAAUAAGGAUCGGCUAACUCCGUGCCAGCAGCCGCGGUAAUACGGAGGAUCCAAGCGUUAUCCGGAUUUACUGGGUUUAAAGGGUGCGUAGGCGGAUUGAUAAAUCAGUGGUGAAAUCCUGCAGCUUAACUGCAGAACUGCCAUUGAUACUGCCAGUCUGGAGUAUGGUUGAGGUAGCUGGAAUGUGUCAUGUAGCGGUGAAAUGCUUAGAGAUGACACAGAACACCGACGGCGAAGGCAGGUUACCAACCCAUUACUGACGCUGAGGCACGAAAGCGUGGGGAUCAAACAGGAUUAGAUACCCUUGUAGUCC
rnacentral:rRNA from 1 species